CGUGGCAGUAAAUCUUUACUACAUAUUGACAGAAAUUACGUAACUGAUGAUGUGGAUACUUGUUUGAUCAAUAAUUAAAUUAACAUCGGUGUGAGCGUGGUGUAUGCAGACACGAGCAGGGUAGGAUGAAGUCAGUAUACGAAAAUAAUGGGAGGCAUAAGCAGAAAUAUCCCUGUAGAGAAUUCGCCUGUAGAAAUGUAUCGUAACUUCCAUCGCAGAACUCACGAACGUAGCUAAAUACAUGAAGAUGGUGGUAGAAAAGUAGCUCUCGCAGAGCUCACUCACGCAAAAUGCAUGAAGGUAUUAGAAAGUUGUUCAAAUUCGUUGUGCGUAGGCUCUACUUCAUGUACUGCACGUACUGUUUACCUGUGGAGACAACCACAAGGCAAAGAAGUGUUUAUACCUCCCUGGUCCAGCUAUGGCUGGGUAAAAUUGAAUGUUGUACAUAAACUCGAUGAGAAGAAGACUUAUGCAAAAUUAAAUGAGCUUACAUUGAAUAUGAAAGUAUUUACCGAUACAUCUAACUUUUAAUGAUGACAAACUUUUUAUCGACCUAUAUUCUGGCAUUGUUGGUAUAGCACUAUUUUACUAAGAGAAGAGAAGAGAUAGCAUGGAAGAGUGUGUGGAAGAGAAAGAGAUACAAUAGGAUGGAGGAGAGAAAAAGAUAAUAGAAUAGCAGGAAUAAGGUUAAUGGUAGCAUAUCAUUAUAUAAUAACAAUAUUUCAUGAGCUGAAGUACUUGAAUUUUCAUCAAGUACUUAUG